AGCUUUGCGCAGUGGCAGUAUCGUAGCCAAUGAGGUUUAUCCGAGGCACGAUUAUUGCUAAUUGAAAACUUUUCCCAAAAGUUAUUUGUGUGUGUCUGAGUGAGUAUGCUUAAAUCUGUGCAUAGAUGUGACACGGCAUC